UGUAACCACACCUACAAUUCAAUGCAUAAAAAAAGCUUUUUUAUGUGUGAGAAUACAGGAAUAUGAACUAAUUAAGAAAUUAUUAGGCAUCAAGAAUCAAUUAAUUUUACACAAAUCAAUGAUCAAUCCAUGUUUGCUAGCAGUUAGGGAUGCAGUUGAAGCAGUUCCAAUUCCUUGGAAGAAUUUAAAGUAUGUUAGAGAACAAAGUGGAUUUAACUAAUCAUGCUAAAUAGAGAUCUAGAA
rnacentral:misc_RNA from 1 species